ensembl:lncRNA
GUGCUAUUCAACUGCAGCUCUGCAGCAUGUCCUUAAAAAAACAAAUAUGCAAAAAGGAGACCUAGGUCCACUCUCGUGCCUGUUCUGCUGUCUGAGAAGAAUAACACCCUGUGGAGCUGACAGGAUUGUGUUUGAUCUUGGUCAUUGAAAGUGCAGAAGGAUACUGCUUGACAACAAAUUGCUUGGAGCAAAAAAAUGCUUGGAGAAGGUAUCCUAUAAGAUUCAGCACCUUUUCUGUACGAGUCUACUAUAAAGAAGCAUCUGCAUAAAUAAAAAUUUUGCAGAAGGGGAGAGCUGCUUUGGCUGUAUGGUACAUCUUAGGAACUAUGCUGCUGGAAGCAGCAUUUUCCUGGGCUGGGCAUGUGCUCCCGUCUGCUCUCAUCCCCCUGACCUCCAGGGCUAGUAAUCACAGAAUUGCAGGGGUUGGAAGAGACUUCAGGAGAUUGAGUCCAACCCCCCUGCUAAAACAGGCACAGGUAAGUAUCCAGACGGGUCUUGAAUAUCUCCAUAGAAGGAGACUCCACAACCUCUCUGGGCAACCUGCUCCAGUGCUCUGUCACCCUCACCAUAAAGAAGUUCUUCUGCAUCUUUCCAAUCCUAUCCUCCAAAUCAAGGACAAAAGGGAAUGCCUCUCCCUUGGCCACACAUUCCAGUUGAUUACAUCUCCAUGCUGGAAAUUUCCUGAGUAGGUAGAUGACAGCACACAGUGCAAAGUAAUAUGUAGCAAGAAUUAUAAUUUGGGA